ACUAUAAUAAUAUGGGUAGUAUAGAUGAUCUAGUGUUUUUAAUUUUUAAAAUUUUAGUUUAACUUUUUUUUUAGGAAAACCUCAAAAAAUCUUCAUGUGGUUUUGCAUUUUUUCAUUUUAGUGCCCCGUGGUUUAAAGUGUAUCAAGUUAGUAUUCUGUGAUUUUAUUUUUGUAUCAAGUUAGUACCCUGUGGUUUUAUUUUUGUAUCAAGUCAGUACCCCUGGUUUUAUUUUUCUCUUAAUAAAAUAUUAAACCACAUGGUAUUAAAGUGAGAAAGUGCGAAACCGCAGGGUACUAACUUGAUACAUUUUAAACUACAGGAUACUAAAGUGAGAAAGUGCGAAAACACAGAGACUAACUUGAUACACUUUAAACCAUAGGGUACUAAAUUGAGAAAAAGUGAAACCACAAGGGAGGUAUUUGAAGUUUUCACUUUUUUAUUUUUUUAAUUUUUGAAUUAAUUAAUAUUAUUAUCGUGUACAAACCACUUAAUCCUAAAGGAACAACUCAAUUCUGGGGGGUCGUAAUCAUUCUAAUUAUUCAAUCAUUGAUCAAAGAGCCAAAAAGUCAGAAGAACUAAGUCCUCUAUACUUCUGAUAGCACAGUAGUAGCGCUAUGCAUAAAUUGUUUAUUAAAAAAAUUGCAUCUAUAAGUGCUUGAUAUGUGAAAAAAAAAUAGUUUUGUAUUAAAAUUUGUUUAGCUGAAAGAAACAAAAAUACAUUUGUUUGGUUCGGUGGAAAAAAAUGAAUAAAAAAAUUUUACGCAGCUUGAGUUCUCAUUUUUCGUCAAAAAAUAGCAAAAACAAAAACUUGAAAUUUUUCCAAAUUCAUAAAAAUAUUUUUAUUUUUCCAUCAAACCAAAAUUUUUUUUUUUUAUAUUGAAAAUAAUUUUUCCAUUCAUUUUACACCGAAUCAAAUGCCUUCUAAACUUAAAAAGUAAUUUAAUCAAUCAAUCGAGAAAUAUGUUAUAAAUAAGUAAAAAUGUAAAGAAUUUAUCUAAAUUAUGGAUAUCGUCCCCUAGUUAGUUUGGUGACGAUGCAGGGCUCUAUUUCUCUUUCUCUG
rnacentral:lncRNA from 1 species